rnacentral:rRNA from 1 species
GACGAACGCUGGCGGCGUGCUUAACACAUGCAAGUCGAACGGUGAAAGGGAGCUUGCUCCCUGGAUCAGUGGCGAACGGGUGAGUAACACGUGGGCAACCUGCCCCAGACUUCGGGAUAACGCUUCGAAAGAGGUGCUAAUACCGGAUACGAACUCCUUGGGCAUCCUUGGAGUUGGAAAGUUUUUCGGUCUGGGAUGGGCCCGCGGCCUAUCAGCUUGUUGGUGAGGUAACGGCUCACCAAGGCGACGACGGGUAGCCAGCCUGAGAGGGCGACCGGCCACACUGGGACUGAGACACGGCCCAGACUCCUACGGGAGGCAGCAGUGGGGAAUAUUGCGCAAUGGGCGAAAGCCUGACGCAGCAACGCCGCGUGAGGGAUGACGGCCUUCGGGUUGUAAACCUCUUUCAGCAGGGAAGAAGCGAAAGUGACGGUACCUGCAGAAGAAGCACCGGCUAACUACGUGCCAGCAGCCGCAGUAAAAC